rnacentral:rRNA from 1 species
UUCAAUCAUAAAAGGUGGCUUUUAGCUACCACUUACAGAUGGACCCGCGGCGCAUUAGCUAGUUGGUGAGGUAACGGCUCACCAAGGCGACGAUGCGUAGCCGACCUGAGAGGGUGAUCGGCCACACUGGGACUGAGACACGGCCCAGACUCCUACGGGAGGCAGCAGUAGGGAAUCUUCCGCAAUGGACGAAAGUCUGACGGAGCAACGCCGCGUGAGUGAUGAAGGUUUUCGGAUCGUAAAACUCUGUUGUUAGGGAA